AAUGAAAAAAUUUAUUUAUUUCACUAAAAUGCUAAUGUUACCCCAAAUUUUUCAUUUUCACAAGGGGUAAUAGGUGAAAAUGUCCCCCAAAAUUUUAAACACCAUUUCUCUCGAGUAAGGAAAUAUAUCAUAUGUGGAUGUAAAGCGCUCUGUGGGUGCACUAGUGCACUCAGAAGGGAAGGAUCGACAUUG